rnacentral:rRNA from 1 species
UACGUAGGGUGCGAGCGUUGUCCGGAAUUAUUGGGCGUAAAGAGCUCGUAGGCGGUCUGUCGCGUCGGAUGUGAAAACUCGGGGCUCAACCCCGAGCCUGCAUUCGAUACGGGCAGACUAGAGUUCGGUAGGGGAGACUGGAAUUCCUGGUGUAGCGGUGAAAUGCGCAGAUAUCAGGAGGAACACCGGUGGCGAAGGCGGCCUUCUGGGGCAUUCCUGACACUGAGAAGCGAAAGCUAGGGGAGCAAACAGG